CAGUACCGCGGGAAAACAGAGGGUGCGAGCGUUAAUCGGAUUUACUGGGCGUAAAGCGUGCGUAGGCGGCUUUUUAAGUCGGAUGUGAAAUCCCUGAGCUUAACUUGGGAAUUGCAUUCGAUACUGGUUAGCUAGAGUGUGGGAGAGGAUGGUAGAAUUCCAGGUGUAGCGGUGAAAUGCGUAGAGAUCUGGAGGAAUACCGAUGGCGAAGGCAGCCAUCUGGCCUAACACUGACGCUGAGGUACGAAAGCAUGGGGAGCAAACAGGAUUAGAUACCCCCGUAGUCCCUGUCUCUUAUACA
rnacentral:rRNA from 1 species